rnacentral:rRNA from 1 species
CGCGAAAGUGGAGCAAUCCAUGAGUAGAGUGGCAAACGGGUGAGUAACACGUGGGUGACCUGCCUUCGAGUGGGGGAUAACGUCCCGAAAGGGACGCUAACACCGCAUGACAUCCUGCCUUUGGAAAGGCGGAGAUCAAAGCUGGGGAUCGCAAGACCUGGCGCUUGAAGAGGGGCCCGCGCCUGAUUAGCUAGUUGGUGAGGUAAUGGCUCACCAAGGCGACGAUCAGUAUCCGGCCUGAGAGGGCGGACGGACACACUGGGACUGAGACACGGCCCAGUCUCCUACGGGAGGCAGCAGUGGGGAAUUGUUCGCAAUGGGCGCAAGCCUGACGACGCAACGCCGCGUGGAGGACGAAGAUCUUCGGGUCGUAAACUCCUGUCGAGCGGGACGAACACCCAUCCGGUGAAUAUCCGGGAGGGCUGACGGUACCGCUAAAGGAAGCCCCGGCUAACUCCGUGCCAGCAGCCGCGGUAAUACGGGGGGGGCAAGCGUUGUUCGGAAUUACUGGGCGUAAAGGGCUCGUAGGCGGCCAACUAAGUCGGACGUGAAAUCCCCAGGCUCAACUUGGGAACUGCGUCCGAUACUGGAUGGCUUGAAUUCGGGAGAGGGAUGCGGAAUUCCAGGUGUAGCGGUGAAAUGCGUAGAUAUCUGGAGGAACACCGGUGGCGAAGGCGGCAUCCUGGACCGACAUUGACGCUGAGUGAGCGAAAGCUAGGG